rnacentral:pre_miRNA from 1 species
UUUGUACUCCCUCCGUCCAAAAAUACUUGUCAUCAAUGGAUAAAAGGGGAUGUAUCUAGAACUAAUAUACAUCUAGAUACACCCCCUUUUAUUCAUUUUGAUGACAAGUAUUUUUGGACGGAGGGAGUACAAA